AUUAGCAUAUCAAUAAGCGGAGGAAAAGAAACCAACAGGGAUUGCCCCAGUAACGGCGAGUGAAGCGGCAAUAGCUCAAAUUUGAAAUCUGGCUCUUUCAGGGUCCGAGUUGUAAUUUGCAGAGGGUGCUUUGGCGUCGGCCGUGGUCUAAGUUCCUUGGAACAGGACGUCACAGAGGGUGAGAAUCCCGUACGUGGCCGCCGGUCUUCGCCGUGUAAAGCCCCUUCGACGAGUCGAGUUGUUUGGGAAUGCAGCUCUAAAUGGGAGAUAAAUUUCUUCUAAAGCUAAAUAUUGGCCAGAGACCGAUAGCGCACAAGUAGAGUGAUCGAAAGAUGAAAAGCACUUUGGAAAGAGAGUCAAAAAGCACGUGAAAUUGUUGAAAGGGAAGCGCUUGCAGCCAGACGUGCCCGCAGUUGCUCACCCGGGCUCUCGCCCGGGGCACUCUUCUGCGGGCAGGCCAGCAUCAGUUCGGGCGGUUGGAUAAAGGCCUCUGUCACGUACCACCCCCUCGGGGGCGGCCUUAUAGGGGAGGCGCAACACGACCAGCCCGAACUGAGGACCGCGCAUUAUGCUAGGAUGCUGGCGUAAUGGCUGUAAGCGGCCCGUCUUGAAACACGGACCAAGGAGUCUAACAUCUAUGCGAGUGUUUGGGUGUCAAGCCCGGACGCGCAAUGAAAGUGAACGGAGGUGGGAACCCUUACGGGCGCACCAUCGACCGAUCCUGAAGUCUUCGGAUGGAUUUGAGUAAGAGCAUAGCUGUUGGGACCCGAAAGAUGGUGAACUAUGCCUGAAUAGGGUGAAGCCAGGGGAAACCCUGGUGGAGGCUCGCAGCGGUUCUGACGUGCAAAUCGAUCGUCAAA
rnacentral:rRNA from 1 species